rnacentral:rRNA from 1 species
GAUGAACGCUAGCUACAGGCUUAACACAUGCAAGUCGAGGGACCGGCGCACGGGUGCGGAACACGUAUCCGACCUGCCCCUUCCUCGGGGGGAGCCUUUCGAAAGAAAGAUUAAUACCCGAUGUACAGGAUGGGGAUGCGUUCCAUUAGGUUGUUGGUGAGGUAACGGCUCAGCAAGCCUUCGAUGGAUAGGGGUUCUGAGAGGAAGUUCCCCCACAUUGGAACGGAGACCCGGUCCAAACUCCUACGGUAGGCAGCAGUGAGGAAUAUUGGUCAAUGGGCGUUAGCCUGAACCAGCCAAGUAGCGUGAAGGAUGAAGGCUUAUGGGUCGUAAACUUCUUUUAUAUAAGAAUAUGUAUUAUAUGAAUAAGGAUCGGCUAACUACGUGCCAGCCGCCGCGGUAAUAC